UACGUAGGGUGCGAGCGUUAAUCGGAAUUACCGGGCGUAAAGCGUGCGCAGGCGGUUUAGUAAGACAGGCGUGAAAUCCCCGGGCUCAACCUGGGAACUGCGCUUGUGACUGCUAAGCUAGAGUACGGCAGAGGGGGGUGGAAUUCCACGUGUAGCAGUGAAAUGCGUAGAGAUGUGGAGGAACACCGAUGGCGAAGGCAGCCCCCUGGGCCGAUACUGACGCUCAUGCACGAAAGCGUGGGUAGCAAACAGGAUUAGAUACCCUGGUAGUCCACGCCCUAAACGAUGUCAACUAGGUGUUGGGAGGGUAAAACCUUUUAGUACCGGAGCUAACGCGUGAAGUUGACCGCCUGGGGAGUACGGCCGCAAGGUUAAAACUCAAAGGAAUUGACGGGGACCCGCACAAGCGGUGGAUGAUGUGGAUUAAUUCGAUGCAACGCGAAAAACCUUACCUACCCUUGACAUGUCCAGAAGCUCUUAGAGAUUUGAGUGUGCCCGAAAGGGAACUGGAACACAGGUGCUGCAUGGCUGUCGUCAGCUCGUGUCGUGAGAUGUUGGGUUAAGUCCCGCAACGAGCGCAACCCUUGUCGUUAAUUGCCAUCAUUUAGUUGGGCACUUUAACGAGACUGCCGGUGACAAACCGGAGGAAGGUGGGGAUGACGUCAAGUCCUCAUGGCCCUUAUGGGUAGGGCUUCACACGUCAUACAAUGGUCGGUACAGAGGGUUGCCAAGCCGCGAGGUGGAGCCAAUCCCAGAAAGCCGAUCGUAGUCCGGAUUGCAGGCUGCAACUCGCCUGCAUGAAGUCGGAAUCGCUAGUAAUCGCGGAUCAGCAUGUCGCGGUGAAUACGUUCCCGGGUCU
rnacentral:rRNA from 1 species